rnacentral:rRNA from 1 species
UACAUGGCGUACUGCUCAGUAACACGUGGACAACCUACCCUCCGGACGGGUAUAAACCCGGGAAACUGGGUAUAAUCCCCGAUAGAUCUCGGUCGCUGGAAUGCCCCGAGAUCGAAAGCUCCGGCGCCAGAGGAUGGGUCUGCGGCCUAUCAGGUAGUAGUGGGUGUAGCGUACCUACUAGCCUACGACGGGUACGGGUUGUGAGAGCAAGAGCCCGGAGAUGGAUUCUGAGACACGAAUCCAGGCCCUACGGGGUGCAGCAGGCGCGAAAACUUUACAAUGCCGGCAACGGCGAUAAGGGGACCUCGAGUGCCAGGUUACAAAUCUGGCUGUCGUGAUGCAUAAAAAGCAUUGCAUAGCAAGGGCCGGGCAAGACCGGUGCCAGCCGCCGCGGUAACACCGGCGGCUCGAGUGGUAACCGUUAUUAUUGGGUCUAAAGGGUCUGUAGCCGGCCGGAUAAGUCUCUUGAGAAAUCCAGCAGCUCAACUGUUGGGCUUUCAGGAGAUACUGUUCGGCUCGAGGCCGGGAGAGGUGAGAGGUACUUCAGGGGUAGGGGUGAAAUCUUGUAAUCCUUGAAGGACCACCAGUGGCGAAGGCGUCUCACCAGAACGGACCUGACGGCAAGGGACGAAAGCUAGGGGCACGAACCGGAUUAGAUACCCGGGUAGUCCUAGCCGUAAACGAUACUCGCUAGGUGUCGGCCACGGUGCGACCGUUGUCGGUGCCGUAGGGAAGCCGUGAAGCGAGCCACCUGGGAAGUACGGCCG